ACGUACACUCCUACGGGAGGCAGCAGUGGGGAAUAUUGGACAAUGGGCGCAAGCCUGAUCCAGCCAUGCCGCGUGAGUGAUGAAGGCCCUAGGGUUGUAAAGCUCUUUCACCGGUGAAGAUAAUGACGGUAACCGGAGAAGAAGCCCCGGCUAACUUCGUGCCAGCAGCCGCGGUAAUACGAAGGGGGCUAGCGUUGUUCGGAUUUACUGGGCGUAAAGCGCACGUAGGCGGACUAUUAAGUCAGGGGUGAAAUCCCGGGGCUCAACCCCGGAACUGCCUUUGAUACUGGUAGUCUUGAGUUCGAGAGAGGUGAGUGGAAUUCCGAGUGUAGAGGUGAAAUUCGUAGAUAUUCGGAGGAGCACCAGUGGCGAAGGCGGCUCACUGGCUCGAUACUGACGCUGAGGUGCGAAAGCGUGGGGAGCAAACAGGAUUAGAAACCCUGGUAGUCCCAUGA
rnacentral:rRNA from 1 species